UUAAUAAAUUACUAGAUUUUGAUCCACACUUUAAACUACCGAUAUUUUUUAUUCGAACCAUAACAAUUGAGUUUUUAGGUUUUUAUCAUUUGUUUUUUUUUUCUUUUCAAAAUAUGGUAUUUGUUCGAAAUAUAGUAGUUGCUCUAUAAUAAUAUUUGAGUUUUAAGAAAUUUUUUCAUAUCCGACCUAGAUUCGUGGUUAAAUCAAUAGACCCGAUACAUUAUACAUAAUCCGGCUCAGAUUUAAUAAAAAAAAACGUUAAUUAAAGAUUAGAUAGAGCCCGGUAAAAAUCCAAAAACUCACUAUUAACCCGC
rnacentral:lncRNA from 1 species